AUGAGAGCACAUAGAGGGAGCAGGCGACUGUUUCCGGUGGGCACAGGAGCUCUCCCCCUGUCUGUGUCUUACAGAAGUGCUCAUCACAGGGUCUUGCAGAAGCAGGAGGUGCGCUCCCUGAGAGGACCCCACACACGUCCGGUAGGACGCGCAUCCUCAGGAGUGAAGAGCCUCGGCACCGUGGAGACAGGAGCUGCUUUCAGCAGAUGUGGAUAG
rnacentral:lncRNA from 1 species